CUGGAGGGGCCGUAUUGAUAAUAUCCCAGCCUGCAAGGCUCAAUCCAUCCCCUGGGGCGCUCAGCGGCAAGUGGAUGAAGAGUCCCCGGACGGUCUUUUGGCUCUACAGCUAGACACUGCAGCAGAGGAAGAGAUCUGAACACGAUAGAAGGCAGAGUGAGGGACAGAGAGCAGUGAUCACAGAGGAGGCGAGGAGGGAAGAGAGGCGAGAGAAUGACAGCCGACGCCGAGGAUCGUCCGUCUCUCUUCUCUCCCAUCAGAAGUGCUAAUCCAGCCAGUGGAGGUGCAGACCACCGCUCACACCUGCCUGCUCCUCUCCAUCUUGUUAGGGGCCAGAUGGGAGGGAAAGUGACUUCCUGCUGUACUUCCACCACAGGGCUCAUUCCCUCACAUUAAUACCUUUGCUGCUCGGCUCCAUUUGUUACACACACUCAAGACACACACUCAGGGGGAGCCCGGGGCUGUGAAUGAUGGCCAUAUGCAGAACAGUGCUCAUCUAUAACCCCCUGUGGCUGGAACAAAGUACAGUAGACUCCUUGAGUGUUGAUACCAAGGUUAACAUUUGGAAGUGGUGCAGUGCAGUCUGAUUCAGCAGCUCUGUGCAGAAGUACGCCUGGCCGGGGCCAACGGGUCCAUAAAGGUUAGUGAAGUGGGUUUAUAGGCAGAAGGUCACUGGUUUAAAUUUCUGCGAGAGUGUAUGUGUGUGUGUAAAUAAAUAAAAACCUGGCAGGGAAGGUGAACGAGUGACUCGCUGCCCACUGGUGACCGCUCCGCAGCCAACAGCAGCCAGCGGUCACUGCGCAGCUCCCUGGUGUGAAA